GACGAACGCUGGCGGCGUGCUUAACACAUGCAAGUCGAACGGAAAGGCCCUGCUUUUGUGGGGUGCUCGAGUGGCGAACGGGUGAGUAACACGUGAGUAACCUGCCCUUGACUUUGGGAUAACUUCAGGAAACUGGGGCUAAUACCGGAUAGGAGCUCCUGCUGCAUGGUGGGGGUUGGAAAGUUUCGGCGGUUGGGGAUGGACUCGAGGCUUAUCAGCUUGUUGGUGGGGUAGUGGCUUACCAAGGCUUUGACGGGUAGCCGGCCUGAGAGGGUGACCGGCCACAUGGGGACUGAGAUACGGCGCAGACGGCUACGGGAGGCAGCGGUGGGGAAUAUUGCGGAGUAAGCGGAAGCCUGAUACAGCGACGCCGCGUGCGGGAUGACGGCCUUCGGGUUGUAAACCGCUUUCGCCUGAGACGAAGCGUGAGUGACGGUAAUGGGUAAAAAAGCACCGGCUAACUACGUG
rnacentral:rRNA from 1 species